rnacentral:rRNA from 1 species
GACGAACGCUGGCGGCGUGCUUAACACAUGCAAGUCGAACGGAAAGGCCCUGCUUUUGUGGGGUGCUCGAGUGGCGAACGGGUGAGUAACACGUGAGUAACCUGCCCUUUACUUUGGGAUAACUUCAGGAAACUGGGGCUAAUACCGGAUAGGAGCUCCUGCUGCAUGGUGGGGGUUGGAAAGUUUCGGCGGUUGGGGAUGGACUCGCGGCUUAUCAGCUUGUUGGUGGGGUAGUGGCUUACCAAGGCUUUGACGGGUAGCCGGCCUGAGAGGGUGACCGGGCACAUUGGGACUGAGGUACGGCCCAGACUGCUACGGGGGGCAGCAGUGGAGAAUAUUGCACAAUGGGCGGAAGCCUGAUGCAGCAACGCCGCGUGCGGAAUGACGGCCUUCGGGUUGUAAACCGCUUUAGCCUGUGACGAAGCGUGAGUGACGGUAAUGGGUAAAGAAGCACCGGCUAACUACGUG